UACGUAGGGUGCAAGCGUUAAUCGGAAUUACUGGGCGUAAAGCGUGCGCAGGCGGUUUUGUAAGGCUGUCGUGAAAUCCCCGGGCUUAACCUGGGAAUUGCGCUUGAAACUAGCGGGCUUGAGUGCGGCAGAGGGGGGUGGAAUUCCACGUGUAGCAGUGAAAUGCGUAGAGAUGUGGAGGAACACCGAUGGCGAAGGCAGCCCCCUGGGUCGACACUGACGCUCAUGCACGAAAGCGUGGGGAGCAAACAGG
rnacentral:rRNA from 1 species